rnacentral:rRNA from 1 species
AGGAUGAACGCUGGCGGCGUGCCUAAGACAUGCAAGUCGAAAGGGUUUAGACCCUUGGCGAACGGGUGAGUAACGCGUGGGUACUUCCAUUAAGUUGAGCAUAACCCGCCGAAAGGCGGGAUAAUACUCGAUGUGUCCAGCCCCAGUUGUAAAACUGGAGCUGGGUAAAGUCGCAAGACGCUUAAUGCGAGGCCCGCGUCCCAUCAGCUAGUUGGUAAGGUAACGGCUUACCAAGGCUAUGACGGGUAGCGGAACCGAGAGGUUGAUCCGCCACACUGGGACUGCGACACGGCCCAGACUCCUACGGGAGGCAGCAGUUUGGAAUUUUGGACAAUGGGCGAAAGCCUGAUCCAGCGACGCCGCGUGCACGAUGAAGGCCUUCGGGUCGUAAAGUGCUUUGCUGAUGAACUAAUUUUUGAGCGUAAUCAGCGAAUAAGAGGUUGCUAACUCUGCGCCAGCAGCCGC